GCUGGCUGCCACGUUGCAUCAUCUCAUUACUCGGAGGUCUGAGACUGGGCUGCCACGGCGCGGUGCGCUCAUCCUCCUCCGCCUCUCUUCGCACCCCCCGCCGCCUCUUCGAAAAACCCACUAAAAUUAAAAUGUUAGAAAAAUGAAUGUUUUCUUGGUUUGUAAAUUCGUGAUUUUUGGAGUUGCAAACCUUUCGAUCGGACCAAUGACCGCGGAUAAGGAGGUGGGUCUAUGAAUACCCGCUCCCGUCGUUGUUGAAGCGCCUAUCUUCUUUCACUUCUCAACGGGUCUCUGGGACGGAGUUCUCCCACCGAGAUCAGCUUCGAGUUCGAGGGGGAGGGAUCUAGCGUUAGGGUUUCGGGGAGCUCCAUGAGCGUUCUCGCGGCGGGAGUGGAUCUUUGGAUCGUUUGAUGAGUUCUUGCGUUGGUUUCUCGCCUUCCUGGACGGCGAUGCUGACGCUCUCGGCUCUGCCGCGCGUUUCGGGAUCGGUUUCGGCAGCUAGGUUUUCGGUUUUUGGCGGCGGAUCAUCUCUGGCUUUGAUUUCGCGGUCUUGCACAUCGCUGGAUUCUUCGGUUCGGUCGAGCCUUCGACGUUGUCCGUGUGGGAUCUACACAUCGAGGACGAAGGCCGUGGUGGAGGCGGUGGAGAGCAAGGUUGCGGCGAGGGGGUGGAAGAGCGCCAUGAAGAGGGCUGUUCUUGCGUCGGAUACCGGGGCGGAGGAGGAGGUCGGGCAUUCCCGGCCCUUUUUCCGGGCUCGGAGCGAAGAAGAGCUGCUUUCCUAUAUUAGAAAGGAAGUGGAAGCUGGAAGGCUUUCUUCAGAUAUUGCUAGUGGGCUGGAGGCGCUUUAUUAUAACUACCGGAAUGCGGUUUUGCAAAGUGGAGAUCCUAGAGCAAACGAGAUCAUAUUAUCCAAUAUGGCUGUUGCAUUUGAUCGAAUUUUGUUGGAUGUAGAGGAUCCCUUUACUUUUUCACCUCAUCACCAAGCAAUUCGAGAACCUUUUGACUACUAUAUGUUUGGUCAAAAUUAUAUCCGGCCAUUGAUAGAUUUCAGAAGAUCAUACGUUGGCAACAUCUCCAUUUUCUCUGACAUGGAAGAGAAGCUUCAGCAGGGCCAUAAUAUUGUGUUGAUGUCCAACCAUCAGUCGGAAGCGGAUCCGGCAAUUAUUGCAUUAUUGCUUGAGAGGACGAAUUUAUAUAUUGCUGAGACCAUGGUUUUUGUUGCAGGAGAUAGAGUUAUUACAGAUCCACUUUGCAAGCCCUUCAGCAUGGGAAGAAAUCUUCUGUGUGUGUAUUCAAAAAAGCACAUGGAUGAUGUUCCUGAGCUAAUCGAGAUGAAAAGAAGAGCAAAUACCCGAAGCCUCAAGGAAAUGGCUCUGCUUCUAAAGGGUGGAUCGCAAAUAAUAUGGAUUGCACCAAGUGGUGGCAGGGAUCGUCCUGAUCCAAUCACGGGGGAGUGGCAUCCUGCACCAUUUGAUGUGUCUUCGGUGGACAAUAUGAGAAGGCUUGUGGAGCAUUCUAGUGUUCCAGGGCAUAUAUAUCCGCUAUCAUUGCUAUGUUAUGAAGUCAUGCCUCCACCACCACAGGUAGAAAAGCAAGUUGGUGAGCAAAGAACAGUUUCCUUCCACGGAGUUGGCUUAUCGGUGGCUCCAGAAUUGAACUUCAAUGAAGUUACUUCUGGCUGUGAGACUCCUGAAGAGGCUAAGGAGGCUUUUACACAGGCUCUCUAUAAUUCAGUGAGGGAGCAAUACAAUGUGCUUAAGUCUGCUAUAUAUGGACAUCAAGGACUAAAUGCAUCAAAUUCCACCAUCUCACUUUCUCAACCAUGGCAAUAAUCUUCUAUUUCUUAGAGAUGCAUCAGCCCACUGUAUGCUAUCUGAUUAAAUGCCUGCACAGAUUUCUGCUGGUGGUGAAAGUUCUGUAUACUAACUAAGCCAUGGAUGGUAGUCAUUCUAUACUGUUUACUGUUGCAUUCUUUCCGCAAUUGAGCAGGCCCCUGGGCAUGUGCAGCAUACAAUUUUCCCAUUUCAUUUAAAAGGAUGUAAUUUCAUUUUGCAAUCCGAGUAUUCCAGCAAGAUAUCAGUGCUGUUGCACCAGCUGGCGAAAAGAUCAUUUGAGAUUUUAUGUGAUGCAUGGUGGCCCAACCUCUUGAUGUUUUUGCGGUAAUUUGCUCCUUUCAUGGCAAGUAGCUCUCAUGCGCUACUGUAUUUACAUUUGAAGGGCAUAUUGGAGAUGGAACAUGCCUUGAAACUCAAAUUCUGAUGUAUCAAAAAUAGACGAGUCAUGUUCUUGCUUUAUUAUUUUUCUAAUGUCAAUUAUACACUUUUGUACAGCAUUUAUUUUUCUAAUAUGAUACACACUUUGUGUAUAUCAUAUUAUCCCCAUGAUGCUUCAGAUUUUUUUCGUUUUAUGGGUGAAGUUCUUAAUAUAAACAUGGAUAUUUUGUUUUGAUUA